AUGGACGCAAGUCUGACGGAGCAACGCCGCGUGAGUGACGAAGGUUUUCGGAUCGUAAAACUCUGUUGUGAGGGAAGAACAAGUACCAAGUAACUACUGGUACCUUGACGGUACCUCACCAGAAAGCCACGGCUAACUACGUGCCAGCAGCCGCGGUAAUACGUAGGUGGCAAGCGUUGUCCGGAAUUAUUGGGCGUAAAGCGCGCGCAGGCGGUCCCUUAAGUCUGAUGUGAAAGCCCACGGCUCAACCGUGGAGGGUCAUUGGAAACUGGGGGACUUGAGUGCAGAAGAGGAAAGUGGAAUUCCACGUGUAGCGGUGAAAUGCGUAGAGAUGUGGAGGAACACCAGUGGCGAAGGCGACUUUCUGGUCUGUAACUGACGCUGAGGCGCGAAAGCGUGGGGAGCAAACAGGAUUAGAUACCCUGGUAGUCCACGCCGUAAACGAUGAGUGCUAAGUGUUAGGGGGUUUCCGCCCCUUAGUGCUGCAGCUAACGCAUUAAGCACUCCGCCUGGGGAGUACGGCCGCAAGGCUGAAACUCAAAGGAAUUGACGGGGGCCCGCACAAGCGGUGGAGCAUGUGGUUUAAUUCUAAGCAACGCGAAGAACCUUACCAGGUCUUGACAUCCCGCUGACCGCCUUAGAGAUAAGGCUUUCCCUUCGGGGACAGCGGUGACAGGUGGUGCAUGGUUGUCGUCAGCUCGUGUCGUGAGAUGU
rnacentral:rRNA from 1 species